GCAAGGAAAACUGAAAUUCGGGCUAAAAUGGGGAAAAUACCAAGUUGUGGACGAAAUGGUAAAAGUAGCCAUUUUCGCAUACGAGUUUUGACAAGCCAGCUCGAAAAUUGGGAACGGUCGGAGGCUCGCUCACACUAUCCGUAUACCAUCUUGGCAUAAUGGCUUGUAUAUUUUGAGUAUGGCAUGUAUAGCAUUAUAAUCAUUUUGUAUAUAUGGUCUUAUGAUAUGGUUAUUGAGUGGUAUGGAAA